UAAACACAUCCCAUAUUUUAUCCAACAUUUGUACAGAAACACCGUUUGACACCAGCUGAAAUUUAAUUGGCACUGUAACGCUGGCCUCGAAACUCGUUCUUUGCAUGAUCAUGUGAAUAUCGUUGCGUGAGGUAUGAACCCUGAACACAAUAUUACGCAAGGAACAGAAUGAUUCAAGAGAUCCCAGAAGAGGUCAAAUGGUUUAUUUCUCAAUCAACUUUCUUUCUAUCAUGCGAACAAAGGAUAUUCAUGCUUAGAGACAUUGACGAUUUCCAUAAAAGAGAAGCUGUUUCUUAUUAUGCCGAAAGAUUUCACGCAAAAUUUGCCUAAUAUAAAGUGAUGCAUUUGUUGUUUAGAAAAAAGUACGUUUUCCUUCAAUAGUGUGUGUAAGCGUUGUUAAAAGAUGAAAACGAAGUUGCUAAUUAUCGUAUCCGUAUAAUUAAGCCACUCGCCAAGGAAGAAUGCAUUUGUAAAAACCUAGCGCAUAUGGACAAACAAAAAAAGAUUAAAAGUUCUCGACGAAUCUUUAAAGUA